rnacentral:sRNA from 2 species
GUUUGCACUUGUCGGGGAAGGGUGAGAACCUUCGAUUAAGGUUCGACUCGAGCGAAAGCGAGAGAACGUUGCCAACGGCAACGGCCCGU